CAGCUAAAUAGUAUUAUUGCAUUAAACAUAGUAUAGAGAUGGCACUAGCUCCUAAGUGUAUUGUGUACACUUUGCUGGAAUUCUUCGAAACACAUGACAGGAAAUAGAGUUAUAUAUAAGAAUCACAGUGUUUCCUUUCUAAAGCCUGAUGCCUUUCUUUCAUAAUAAAAAUUUUGUGGGCCAAUGUCUUUUAGAAGUGUAAUGGAACACAUUGACUUUAUUUGGUUCAGAUUCCUUAAAAUGUAUUGACAUGUACCUAACAUGGUGGAGGCACCAUGUUAGGUAAACAGUCAAAAGCUCUCAGUAUAUAGUGGCCCAUAAAUCUUGUAAAAAAAAAAAAAAAA